rnacentral:rRNA from 1 species
AAGCUCGUAGUUGGAUUUCUGUUAAUAAUUUAUAUAUAAUAUUUUUAAUAUUUAUAUAAUAUUAACAUAAUUCAUAUUACUAUAAUUUUUAUUAGUAUAUGAAAUUUUACUUUGAGAAAAUUAGAGUGCUUAAAGCAGGCAUAUGCCUUGAAUACUCCAGCAUGGAAUAAUAUAAAAGAUUUUUAUCUUUUUUAUUGGUUCUAAGAUAAAAAUAAUGAUUAAUAGGGACAGUUGGGGGCAUUUGUAUUUAACAGUCAGAGGUA